AUUGCCGAUAUAUUUAGUGCCAUCAUGUUCCACAGCGCAGUACAAUAAUUGGUAUUCAGGAUGGAGAUGUGGGGGUCCCAUGGUGGCUCAAAGGGUAAGGCCCAUACAGCUCUAUUUGCACCCCUGUUUUAAUAUGGGUUAGGGAUCACUGGGUACAUGCGCAAGCACAGGCGCUUGAUUUGCACAUACAUGCUAUCCCAGUGCUUUGCUCCCGGGUUCAGUAAUGAUCUCAAUAAUGCCGGUUCUGUGCCGCUGGCCCAGAAGCCCGAAUGGGAGGAGGUGUAACGCAGUAAAUUAAAUGGGUCCUCAUGAAUUUCAUUUUUAAACCCAGUGUAUGAUUGUUGUAUGUUGUUUUGAAUUUCUUUUGAAUAAAUGUGGAUAUAUUUGAA